rnacentral:lncRNA from 1 species
GCUUCUCCUGCUUGUGCGGGUAUUCUCUUGCUCUCUCUUGCUAAAAUCAAUCAAUCAAUCAAUCAAUCUAUCUUUUUAGAAAAGGAGAGAUUAGCAGGUGUUAGGUGUUAAAACCUAGGAAUAACAAAAAAUUCAACUUUUUUUUUUUUUUGUAAUCAGAAAGGCUGUAGGGAAAUGGAGGAAAAGUAUCUCGCUUGUGUGUUUUAAUAUUAUCUACUGCUGUCAUGAACUCCUCAUGUCAAGACAUUUGGAAAAACACCUGAGAGGAUGGGUGUGCUUGUUGGGGACUCUGGGAACCACUUCAUUAUCCAGAGCUGCAGUCUGAUCUGAAAUAUCAUCAGGCAUCAUCUUGAUCAUCUUGGGAAAGAAGUCUUCUGACGUCCUGAGUCCUCAGUCUUCUGAAGCAAUCUGCUGGUCCCAAGUUCUCCCUUUCCAAGGGACACUCCUUUGACUACUUCCCUUCCAACUUGGUCACGUUUCCAGCACUUAAAUAGUUCCUGGAACUUACUGAGGCUCUAUAAAUAUUUGGUGGAUGAGAGAAUGAGCACUGAGAUGGAUCAACGAAUAGGACCUGGAAGAAAGACGGUGAUAAACCAAAGACGCUUACAGCUUCAUCAGCUCGAAGGACAUGACUUAUUUUCCUCUUCCUUGAACUUUGCUUGGCUUCCCGAGAAGAUAACUUAUUUUUAUUUCUCUCUUUAUUUCUUUAUUUUGUAUCAGCCUGUAUUAAAGUCCUAUAAAUAACCCUGGAGACACA